GGGUGAGAGCCUGAUCCAGCCAUCCCGCGUGAAGGAUGACGGUCCUAUGGAUUGUAAACUUCUUUUGUACAGGGAUAAACCUUUCUACGUGUAGAAAGCUGAAGGUACUGUACGAAUAAGCAC
rnacentral:rRNA from 1 species